GUGAUCGUCACGCUCAGGUACUUCGCUGGCCCAUGGGUGCCUCGUUACGUCUUUCUUACCGUCGGAUAUACCUGGUUCUGUUCCCUCUCCAUCAUUAUUCUCGUCCCUGCGGACAUCUGGACGACCACAAGUCAUCUGCCAGAGACUGGAGUGAUUUCAUUCUUUUGGAGCUGGUCCUAUUGGAGUACAUUCUUACUUACCUGGGCUGUGGUGCCACUUAUCCAGGGUUUUGAAGAUGCAGGAGACUUCACUGUGAAAGAAAGACUGAAGACCAGCAUCCAUGUUAACCUGGUCUUUUAUUUGGUUGUUGGAUCCAUAGGUCUUUUUGGACUAAUUCUCCUAAUCGCGAUGCACAAGAUUUGGCAUGGCGGUGUUCUGGGUUUCGCUAUGGCCUGCUCAAAUACAUUUGGAUUGGUAACAGGUGCAUUUCUUCUUGGAUUUGGUCUGAGUGAAAUUCCCAAG
rnacentral:misc_RNA from 1 species